UCGAAACAUAAUAACGAUUAAUUAAGCACAUAUACAAUAACGUUUACGAAUGAAUAUUGCGAAUUAUUGUAUGGCUUUAAUGCGGUAUUUAAUGUUUUGAUUGCGGUCUUUGAAAUGGUAUCAUAGGUGCUGAUAUAAUAUCGCGCGAAAAAGGAAAGACCAGUGGUUAAUAUUGCAGGUGCACCAGUGCGUUGCGCUCGUCAAGGGUGGUUUUGACGCUGGUGCCGAGGAAAGGCGCAGAACGUGUUCGAUCGACCCGCGAACGUAGCCUGUGCUCAUACUGCGACAGAGUUCGUUUCAGUUAGGCUUAGUCGCUGUUUGUCCGUCGACAGCGUAUAGUCGCGUCGGCCUACGAUUCCUUUUUUCUUCUUGUUUCUUGCGAACUCUCUCGCAACAGCUGUUGCUUCCCUUACCCUCUCACGUCCUUCGAAGAAGACCUCCCUUUGGUUUUUCCUUGUUUAGAGGGAAUUCAUCGCUCGGACACAUGGACUGCGAAGCACGAGGGUUGAUCGAGGCAUCAGCGUGAUGUACUUUUCAGGUUUCAUAUUUUCUCUAUGAUACUUUCUAAGGAGAAUUUGGAAGAUAUACAUUUUUAGGAAAUAAAGGUUUUUAUGGAGUCAUCGAUAGGUUAGAAUUUAAUUAACUCUCUUAUAACAGGUAUUCCAAUUUUUUAAUAUAUAAAUUUAGUUUCCUCUAUGGUGUUAGAGAACAUAAUGCGGGCAUUUUAUGAUAUAACGAAUAUAUUCGUAUAUAUUUUAGUUUAUUCAUUCGUCAAAUUUCCCUAGUAGGCCGGCCUGCAGCUCACAUGCAGCACUUAGUAAAAAUUUGUUUUGUUAGAGGUUGGCCAUUCUUCUUGCUAUAAAAAUAUCGUGAAGUCAUAUCAUAUGAUAAAGCAACUUCUGAAAGCUAGAUGCUCGAUAACGAGCCUAAUGAUUCUCGGUAGUUUGUAAUGUCAAGCUUUGAAUUGGCGAGAUCGCUCUGCUGUCAAACCGCUGCUGCAAUAAUCGCGUAACAGCAGAGUAGCGUCGGACUCCUACCGACUAAAACUCCACGAUGACCAUCUUAUGCGCGUGACAGGGGUGCUCCAGGAACCUCUCAUGAAUUAACUUCAGUUGCAUCCCCUUCUCGCGUUCUCUUGUUCGAGCCGGCUAUUGAGUAGGCGUUAGGGGGAGGUCGUUGUCACUUCUUCUGGUCGUAGUCCGUUGGGGUGGUGGCGGGGCGGCUCUGGGUCGUCUGACUGCCAUCCUUCUCCAUCGUCUUAUCCUGCAGGGGUGAGAGUUUUUCUUUCUCUCCCUUUCCGCUCGCUCCUUCGCGAGCAUAACUCGCUCGCAGAAGAGGCGGACGCAAGGUGUAGUGGGGCAGCUCCCACGCCGGACAGAGCUCCAGGGUGUGCUGCGCUGUGUCCCUGCCCUUUCCGCAGAACCUAUCAUUAUUUUACUACAGAAUCCUCAAAAACAUGAUUUUACAGAGGAUAAAGCGUGGGUAACUCACGACUGUCGCGAUCAUGACACUAUACAUACCUAUGUAUAGCACGUAUACUAAGCUAACUAAAAUAGCAAGUCAGAGAAAUGGAAACUUAGGAAAAUCUAAAGGAAGAUAAAACGUUCGAGCCUUGCCAGGAAUAUAAGAUGCUAAGUAAUCUUCCUAAGUAAUCUCCUCCAGCUUUUUCUAGUUUGAUCAAUAAUUAUUAGUACAUGUUAGGAAAAUAAAUAGAAUUUUUGUUCUCAAGCGAGGUAUAAUUUAAAUUUUGUAUGUACACAAAAAUGUUAAAUAUCUGUAAUAAACAUGGUAUAAUCAAUUUUUUUACAUAAAAUUAUAUUGUAUAGGCUAUUGUUAUUUAAACAUUUUAAAUUGGAUGAAGAAAAAAAUGACGCAAAUAAAACGUAGGACAUUUUAAUUAAAGAGACUAAUAUAGAGAUUUAUCUACUUAA